rnacentral:rRNA from 1 species
AACGAACGCUGGCGGCAUGCCUAACACAUGCAAGUCGAACGGGAUCCUAGCUUGCUAGGUGAGAGUGGCGGACGGGUGAGUAACACGUGGGAAUCUGCCUUCUGGUUCGGGAUAACCGCGGGAAACUGCGGCUAAUACCGAAUGCCCUCGCGAGAGGAAAGAUUUAUCGCCAGAAGAGGAGCCCGCGUCCGAUUAGGUAAUUGGUGGGGUAAAGGCCUACCAAGCCGACGAUCGGUAGCUGGUCUGAGAGGAUGAUCAGCCACACUGGGACUGAGAUACGGCCCAGACUCCUACGGGAGGCAGCAGUGGGGAAUAUUGGACAAUGGGGCAACCCUGAUCCAGCAAUGCCGCGUGAGUGAUGAAGGCCUUAGGGUUGUAAAGCUCUUUUGUCAGGGAAGAUGAUGACUGUACCUGGAGAAUAAGCCCCGGCUAACUUCGUGCCAGCAGCCGCGGUAAU